UACAACGUGUCCCUGACCGACG
rnacentral:misc_RNA from 1 species